GAUCCUGACUCAGGAUGAACGCUGGCGGCGUGCUUAACACAUUCAAGUCGAACGGAGUCUUUUUGGAAGCUUGCUUCCGGGAAGACUUAGUGGCGGACGGGUGAGUAAUGCAUGAGCAACCUGCCUUCAGGAGGGGGAGUAACAUCGGGAAACCGGUGCUAAUACCGCAUAGAGCAUUUUGCAGGCAUCUGCGAGAUGGGAAAGGAGCAAUCCGCCUGGAGAUGGGCUCAUGU
rnacentral:rRNA from 1 species